CUGGGGACAGGGGUGGCCGGGACAGGGGAGGCCGGGACAGGGGAGGCUGGGACAGGGGAGGUUGGGGACAGGGGAGGCUGGGACAGGGGAGGCUAGGGAGAGGAAGUUGGGGACAGGAGGCCAUGGCCAUGCGGUCCCGGAGGACUGGGGGCAGCACUGGAGACCCCAGAGCAGCGUCCACCAGCACCUGGUCAAGCCUCCUCCCUGAGUGGGGACACUGGGGGAACAGGAUCACCAGGACUUCUCUGCCUCCCAUGGGGUGGCCAAGGGGUGUUUCUGGACGUGGCCGGGUCCUGCAUGCGUAGACGGCUGGCCCCGGGCGUGGACGGUGGUCUCUGGGUGUGAAGCUGAAUAAACUUGUCCACUAA